AGUGCUUGUGGCUCACUGAAGUUUAAGCGAGGAUUUCCCUUCUGUCCCUUGUCACAAGUUUAAAAACCUCACAGUUUGUAUAAUGUAACCAUUUGGGGUCCGCUUUUAACUUGGACUAGUGUAAGUCCUUCAUGCAAUAAACGGAAACGAGCCAUGCUGUCGAGUCUUGAAGUCCCUCAUUUAAACAGAGGUCAGGCAGUAGGUGCCUGGCAGUGUCUACCCUGAAACAAAGCCAUAACGUGAUGUUUCAGCAAAACCCAGAGCCCCAAGAUCAGAUGGCUGUGUCUGACCACAAGCUUCUCAACUCUCCCUCAGCUGAGGCCCCUGCCCUAAGAGUGUCCUCACCUGAUCAGGAGGAAUGGGGUAAGGCAGCUGUACCCCUAGAAGGGGGCCUUUGGUAGUUUUUUUUUUUUUUGGGGGGGGGGUUCAUUUUGUUUUUUAAAAAGAAUGCCUGGUGUCUAACCUGACCAGGUGGG
rnacentral:lncRNA from 1 species